AUGGUGUGGACUCCUUCAGAGGCCGUUGAAACCCUCCAGAGUGUGUUAUGGCCAUGGAAGAAAGGACAGUCUUCAUCUUGGGAGAGCCUUAGAGAUGGCAGGGAGCCCCUUGACAUGUGGAAUGUGGUCUCCUUUGGAUGCUGGUGGAUCCCUCAGGUGGUCUGGCAUGGAAGAAGGCCAGAGGCUGUGAUGGAUGAUCUUUGUCAUGGGAGAUGCCUGGAGAUGUCAGGGAGCCCCAGGCCAUGUGUGGCACAUGUGGUGUGGCUUCUCCAGGUGCUGGUGGAUCCCUCAGGACGGUGAAUGCCUGCAUAAGCAAGUGAAGCACGCUCCGCCUGGCCCGACCUGUGCUCCACACCGUAUCUCCCACCUCUGCUGCCCCUUCACCUUGCCGGGUGGAUCCUGACUGGCUUUUGCCACUGCUGCCACCACAGGCCACCAGGAGCCCCAGCUAGUUUGAGGAAAGUGGCUCGGUCUGAUUUUCCUUUUUUUGCCUCCAUUCCUGACUCCAACAGGUGGGACUUGGAGUCGCUGCUUCUGCAGCCACAGAAGACUCCCCAGUUUGGAGGGCUGUGGCUGUGGGCUCCCUAGCCAUCUCUCUGCAGAGCCCCUCCAUCUUCCAUUUUACCAACCACAUCAAUAACUAACACAGUGGUGGAGGAGCGCAUGACUCUGUGUGUCAUUACUCUUCUAACUCGCACAGCUGUACUCAGCCACUGGUCAGAAUAAGAGAAAAAGCAAGGUCCCCCUCCUGGGGCCAGGAGGAUCCUACAAGAAAUUUUACAUUUUAUUUUUGUUAGUGCAUAUACCUUUUCUGUUCAAAUGUGGACUUUGAUUUGAUAUGCUUCCAGCGCAGAUACAGACCCCAUAUGUAAGAGAGUGUGGAGCUGCAUAGAAAGAAGACUUGUCAUUUUCCUAUACUGUUGGGGUUCUAAUAUGUCUUCAUGGUUUUUGCCUCUUCUGGCUUUAGAAGAUACACAAA
rnacentral:lncRNA from 1 species